CCAAGAUCUUGAGAUGCUGAUAAGCUGGUAAGCAGGCAAGGUCAGCCCUGGAAAGUCACACCCUAUUUUAACACCUGGAGGACACCUGAAGUUGGGGGCUGAAAAAGCAGCAAAGUUGGUACAUAAUAACCAUGGAUAUAUAUGGGGUGCAGUGCGCUAAUCUUAUGCAUGCCUACAAUGGUAUACAAUGUGUGACGAUAAAGUCAAGGGCCUAAUAGAUAGAGUGUGCUGUGCCCUCGAAUGCUUCAUAAAUACUGCCCGUGGCGAGAGGAUGACAUUUCCUUGGGGAAUGCCUGUCAAAGAAAUGUUAUGCAUGAGUGAUUUUUAUGGACAACAGCACAGUAAUGGAAUACAGAUCUGCAAUGUAUCAC
rnacentral:lncRNA from 1 species